UGUUCAUCGCAAUUACGGCGUAACGAUCGACCGCGUUCAUUUCCGUUUUGUGCUAGCUCAGCUAUCACGGAAACGGAAGUUUCGUCGGACGUACAACUUUCGCGACAGUUUCGUUUUUCUUUCUAAUUUCUUUUCUCGUCGCUGUACCUCGAAAUCGCCACAAAUUUCAGCUUCCACGCGGGUUGAACGAGAGACAAACUUUUAUACGACGUAUCGUAGGUGUCGUAGAGAUGCACAGACGAAGAUUAUCAGAGUGUGCGACGAGGGUAAUUCGGGUCAGAAAUUUGAGUCGAUAUGAUUAAUUUGUUCUGUAAUUCGUCAAAAGCCGAAUACAUCCAACCUAACCAACCAUCCUAUCGAACUAAACGAUGAAAAGCGUCGAUUCAGCGUUUACUCCGACGACGAACGAGAAUGUUUUUCCCAAAGGGAUUCUAACGAUGGUACCUUCCCGAUGCUCCAGUCUCCAGGUAUGAUUUUCAAAUUUGUUUCAAAUUUUACUCUUACGUAUGCUCACGACAGUCGUGUCUCGUUACGGUGUUACGUUAAAGAAAUUUCAAACGGUUUUGUACAAAAAUUCUGUUAUGCGUUCGCGAAUACCUUGUUCUUCAUCGGGAUGAUUCAACGUUCGUUCGCAAUAUCUCAUUCUGUCGGAAUCUCGAGGGUUUACACGAAACGUUGCUGUUUAUACGCACGAUCGAGAACUAGAUCUAUCGACGUUGAAUCGAAGAAAGUUUCGCGAUUUGCUAGCAUCGGCCAUACCCUGAAAACGUUUCGCCGUUUCGACAGACUCGGUCCAAUUUAACUUCGUCUCCGUGUUCGAACGUAUCGGCUGAAUGUUCCGUUUGUUUCGUUCGACCGCCAAGUCGCCAGUCGCGAGUCGAGUAUCUUACGUCGGACCGUCGUGUCGCAACACGGAAAUUAGACCGUUCCUUUAGUCGAUUUUCCGUUCGAUUCCACGUCUUGUUUCCUCCGUAAACGAUGCCGAAGCUGUUACAAGAUGCCAGUUUCGAUUUUCGGUCUUGUUUUUUGGGAAUUUAUAAUGGAAAACUUGACAACGGAACAACUACCAGUGGGACCGUGAAGUUAUUGUACGUCGAAAUCUGAGUCGGCGAUGAAGUCACGAGUCAUAAACAGAGGCCGGAAUUGUCCUGCAGCGACUCGAACGACCUACAGCAAUAAAUAUCGUCUUUAGCCGAGUUAUGCACUUUCAAGAUAAUCAUGCAUGGAUAAUCGCGUUAGUCGACACCGUCGUUAGCAGUACUAGCAACAGCAACGACAUUAAUAGCCUAAUAUUACGCUGAGGCGAGCUCGACCG